rnacentral:rRNA from 1 species
UACGGAGGGUGCAAGCGUUAUCCGGAUUUACUGGGCGUAAAGCGUGCGUAGGUGGUUUGUUAAGUCUGAUGUGAAAGCCCUGGGCUCAACCUGGGAAUUGCAUUGGAUACUGGCAGGCUAGAGUGCGGUAGAGGAUGGCGGAAUUCCCGGUGUAGCAGUGAAAUGCGUAGAGAUCGGGAGGAACAUCUGUGGCGAAGGCGGCCAUCUGGACCAGCACUGACACUGAGGCACGAAAGCGUGGGGAGCAAACAGG